rnacentral:rRNA from 1 species
AUUCUAAGGCCAACGGGAGAAGGGUUGUUAAGGAACUCGGCAAAUUGACCCCGUAACUUCGGGAGAAGGGGUGCUCCAGAGAUGGAGCCGCAGAGAAUCGGCCCAAGCAACUGUUUACCAAAAACACAGGUUUGUGCUAAAUCGAAAGAUGACGUAUACGAGCUGACGCCUGCCCGGUGCUGGAAGGUUAAGAGGAGAUGUGCAAGCAUUGAAUCGAAGCCCCAGUGAACGGCGGCCGUAACUAUAACGGUCCUAAGGUAGCGAAAUUCCUUGUCAGGUAAGUUCUGACCCGCAUGAAAGGCGUAAUGAUUUGGGCACUGUCUCAACAGCCCGCCCGGCGAAAUUGUAGUACCGGUGAAGAUGCCGGUUACCCGCGACAAGACGGAAAGACCCCAUGGAGCUUUACUGUAGCCUAAUAUUGGGUUUCGAUGUUGCAUGCACAGGAUAGAUGGGACACUGGGAAGCAGGUGCUUUGGCGCUUGUGGAGUGGCCGUUGGGAUACCAUCCUUGCGAUAUUGGAAUUCUAACCUGCGCCUUUGAAUCAAGGCGGGGGACAUUGUUAGGUGGGCAGUUUGACUGGGGCGGUCGCCUCCUAAAGAGUAACGGAGGCGUUCAAAGGUUCGCUCAGCUUGAACGGAAAUCAAGCAAAAGAGUGCAAACGCAGAAGCGAGCCUAACUGCGAGACUGACGGGUCGAGCAGUAACGAAAGUUGGAGUUAGUGAUCCGGUGGUAUGUGAGUGGAAAUGCCAUCGCUCAACGGAUAAAAGUUACCCUGGGGAUAACAGGCUGAUCUCCCCCAAGAGUCCACAUCGACGGGGAGGUUUGGCACCUCGAUGUCGGCUCAUCGCAUCCUGGGGCUGUAUUCGGUCCCAAGGGUUUGGCUGUUCGCCAAUUAAAGCGGUACGCGAGCUGGGUUCAGAACGUCGUGAGACAGUUCGGUCCCUAUCUGUCGUGGGCGCAGGAUAUUUGAUGGGAGCUGUUCCUAGUACGAGAGGACCGGAGCGGACGUACCUCUGGCGCACCAGUUGUUCUGCCAAGAGCAUAGCUGGGCAACUAUGUACGGAUCGGAUAAACGCUGAAAGCAUCUAAGCGUGAAGCCGACCCAAAGAUAAGAUAUCCCAUUGUUUCAAACAAGUAAGACCCCUUGAAGACUACAAGGUUGAUAGGCACGAUGUGUAAGUGGAGCGAUCCAUUCAGCAAGCGUGUACUAAUAGGUCGAGGGCUUGACCAC